UACGGAGGGUGCGAGCGUUGUCCGGAAUCAUUGGGCGUAAAGGGCGCGUAGGUGGCGGCUUAAGCGUGCGGUGAAAGCUCGGGGCUCAACCCCGAGUCGGCCGUGCGAACUGAGUCGCUUGAGCACUGUAGAGGCAGGCGGAAUUCCGGGUGUAGCGGUGGAAUGCGUAGAGAUCCGGAAGAACACCGGUGGCGAAGGCGGGUCUCUGGGCCAUUACUGACGCUGAGGAGCGAAAAGCGUGGGGAGCGAACAGG
rnacentral:rRNA from 1 species